rnacentral:rRNA from 1 species
AACGAACGCUGGCGGCGUGCUUAACACAUGCAGGUCGAACGCGAACGGGUUCUUCGGGACCUUAGUAGAGUGGCGCACGGGUGAGUAACGCGUAAGUUAUCUACCUCGGCAUCUGGAAUAACUCACCGAAAGGUGUGCUAAUACCGGAUACGUUGAGUAAUCAAGAAAGGUGGCCUCUCUUUGAUGCUACCGUGCUGAGAUGAGCUUGCGUACCAUUAGCUAGUUGGUGGGGUAAUGGCCUACCAAGGCGACGAUGGUUAGCGGGUCUGAGAGGAUGAUCCGCCACACUGGAACUGGAACACGGACCAGACUCCUACGGGAGGCAGCAGUGAGGAAUAUUGCGCAAUGGGGGCAACCCUGACGCAGCGACGCCGCGUGGAUGAUGAAGGCCUUCGGGUCGUAAAAUCCUGUCAGGUGGAAAGAAAUGCAUAUGUGCUAAUACCAUGUAUGCUUGACGGUACCACCGAAGGAAGCACCGGCUAACUCCGUGCCAGCCGCCGCCGUAAGAC